rnacentral:misc_RNA from 1 species
UUGAAUUAUAAGGCUUUGGCUGUGCUGGCCCCUCGGGGCAUGUGCACGUCUCUGCCCGUUAAUACCAACCAACCCCUGUGAACCAACCGUGGGGCGCUCUGUGAUGGAGUCGUCCCAUGUUUAUCAUAAACACUGUAUGUCUUUAGAAUGUAAAUCUAUAUCCUCGCCCUAAAAAAGCGUCGAUAAAAAAAUUAAUA